GACGUAGGAUGCGAGCGUUGUCCGGAUUUAUUGGGCGUAAAGAGUUCGUAGGUGGUUCAUUAAGUUUGGUGUUAAAGACCGGGGCUCAACCUCGGGACCGCACUGGAUACUGGUGGACUAGAGUGCAGUAGAGGCAAGCGGAAUUCCAGGUGUAGAGGUGAAAUUCGUAGAUAUCGGGAGGAACACCAGUGGCGAAGGCGGCGACCUGGACGGACAUUGACGCUGAGACGCGAAAGCGUGGGGAGCAAACAGG
rnacentral:rRNA from 1 species